rnacentral:rRNA from 1 species
UACGUAGGGUCCGAGCGUUGUCCGGAAUUACUGGGCGUAAAGAGCUCGUAGGUGGUUUGUCGCGUUGUCCGUGAAAACUCACAGCUCAACUGUGGGCGUGCGGGCGAUACGGGCAGACUGGAGUACUGCAGGGGAGACUGGAAUUCCUGGUGUAGCGGUGGAAUGCGUAGAUAUCCGGAGGAACACCGAUGGCGAAGGCAGCUGCCUGGCCUGACACUGACGCUGAGGUGCGAAAGCGUGGGGAGCGAACGGG